rnacentral:lncRNA from 1 species
GCAUUUAGAAAUAAAUAUAAUAAGAAUAUGGCAUGAUUUCUCCCACUUAAUUAAUUGAAAUGAUAAAUUGAAGAGUGUUUAAUAUAUGGACAGCAUAAGGUUACUGCAAGUGCAUUGUAUCAUCCUUUAUUGUACUGAUAAAUUGAAGAGUGUUUAAGCUAAUUGUUAAAAACCUAUUGUACUGAUAAGGUUACUGCAAUUGAUAAAAAUGCAAUUUAAUCAUAUUUGAAUCAAUAUUGAAAAGUUUCAACAUUACUAUCUAUCCUCCUAGUUGAGGAAUUGACUAAGAGGGAGCUUUUUAAUAGUGCUCAUACCCCAAGAGAAAUUAGAAGAGUAUUAAGAUCAAAGGAACUAAACCAUGAAUAACUAACUCUAGCAUGAAAAACAAAAGGAACUAAAGUAUAUAUAAAUAAAAUAAAAAAUAUCUCUUCCCACCAUUGAUGUUGCUGGAAUGACUCAACCCACUACUCCAACAUUAACCUUCAAUGCACAAAACAGCAUAAAAGAGUACAUGAUUACACGAGAGUGGAUGGAAUGGGGCUGACCGUGUGAGGUGGUACAGAGGAGGAACACUGGAAAAUGAACAAAAACAAUGCAGACAAGAACCUGGUCUUGUGAAGUGGUUCAACAGAGGCAUGGGGCUGGUAGAACAUUGUGUUUGCGGCUGAAUGACAGAAACGGUGAAAGUUAUGUAUAGUCUUCUUCAACCACUGUGGUUCUCACAUGGAUGAGUAACCGAGUAAGGAGAAGGAGGAGGACAUUCCCUCAGAAAUUGUUUUGGUUUCAUAUCAAGGUUAAUUGAUUCUAAUAUUAUUUUUUUAAUUUAAUAUGAUAGGAUUUUGUUAGAAUUAAGUAAAUCCCCCAAGUGUCUUUUUCUCAGCUACUCUCAUCUACAGAAAGGUUAUCAAUGUUAUUCCUCAAAUCUCCGGUAUUACAUUGUCUCUGCAGAUGUCAGCUUCUAUGAGACUCGUCACUUAUUUCCAUGAAAUCAAGACAUGGACAUGCGACUACUAAGUCAAACUUGAAAGUUUGAUUGCUGACUUUGAUACACAGAAGUUACAGAAUCUUUCAAAUUGCAUGGUUAGAGAAUAUUGAGAGAACAAGAAAACCUUUCCUGAGAUGAAAACAACAAUACACAUAAAGUGAACCUAAACUAACCCAGUGCAUUCAAUAUUUUAACUCAAAUAUGCACCCUUGAAAAUAAUGAAAAAUAAAUCUUUAUAGGUAAUAUUCAUAAGCAUUAUCAGGAAAAAUAAAUGAUCAGAUACAGAUUCUGAUUUUUUUUGUAUCUUAACACUCCAAAACCCCCGUUUGGUGCGCAUGAUAUGAUAAAGAUAGGAUAUGACAAGAAGUGGUAAGAAUAAGAAUAAUAAGAAGAAGAAAAUAAUACGCGUUUUGAUGAUAAGUCUAUGCUAUCAUGUUGCUAACCCAACAAAAAGUAAGGAUUAGAAUUACAAAGGGUGAAUAGGAUAGGAUUCGUAAUAGGUUUAAUUUAUCAUAUCCUAUUAGUGCACCAAACAACAAAUUUAAAUAGGAUAUGAUAAAUUAAACCUCUAGUAGUCCUUAAAUAUUUUCCAUUUUUCAAAAGGGUCCACUAGUAGUCCUUAAAUAUUUUCCAUGAGGUCCAAUUUACCUUAUCAAAAACAACCCAAUAACUAUAUUACAAUUAACUAUUCAAGCAACCAGAUAUCUACACAGAAAUUCAUCUACCUCUUAAAUUUCGAAAAAGCUUAUUGACUAUCAUGCAUGUUUGAAAGAGCAAUUAGCAACCUUAAUCUACUGUAUUUUCCACGUAUCACUCAAUUAGGCAGCAGACAUAUUUCAAAAAAAUAACUCAAUUAAAGGGAAAUGCAAAACUGACUAAAACAAGAGUUCCAAAAUGACACUUUUAUUUUGAAAUUGUAUCAGAAUGACUUGCAUACAAAAAAAAAAAUGCAGCCGAAAAACUCCAAAUAUGGAAACAGAGGGCACUAAAACAUUGGCCUCUUUAAGGGUGUGUUUGGAUUGGAAGAGAGAUUGUGAAGAGAGAAGUUGCUAAGAGAGAGUAUGAGAAGAGAGAAAAAGAUAAGAAAUGGAGUAGAUUUAAUGUAUUAUUUGGCAUAAGAGAAAGAUAAGAGAGAUAGAGAAGAAAGAAGUGUUAAUUAGUUUUGAUAGUACAAAAAUACCCUUGCUUUUUAAAAAUAAAUCCAUUGAUGCACAGCUCCACUCCACCAUCAAACUUACGAACAAUUCAACUUUCACCCCUUAAAUUAUUUUUUUUAUUUUUUAUUUCUAAGCAAUUCAAGUAUUAACCCAUAAUUAUCAUUUAUCACAGCUUUCGACGAUUCACUUGCAAUCACAUUAGAUGCACUAUUUGUUCUUUCAUUUCCCCAAUUCUUUGUUUUUUUAUAAUUCAUGUGCUUUCUAUUCUUUUAUUUAAGAUUAUGAAGAAGAAGAAAAAUUCAACUCCCAGUUAUUCAUUCCCAAUCUAUAUAGGCUUACACUUCCUCAACUUUAGUACAUGGUCACUGUGUUCAAGUUGUGCUUUCUAUUGUUUUUGCAGUUAUCUUUGUUGAUCAAGAAAGUAAGGGCAAAAAGGAGAAAACAAUGGAAAGCACCGUUUCUCUUGUCUUUCUUCACAGUUUUGGAGAGAAGAGAUAAAGCGUGUGCCCCACACCAAAUUAGUCUCUCUCCUCUAUUUCUUUGGUCUCCCAAACAGGAGAAGUGGGGCAUCUCCUUCCUAUUUCUCUCUUCAAUGCUUCUCUCGCCUCUAUUUCUUGCCAACCAAACACAGUGUAAGAGUUUCAAGAUUACUUUGCUAUUUUUAAUCGGCAGUUCUCAUCAAGGUUGGGCCAUUUGACUAAACAAAUCACAAAUAAACUAUAUAGUAAAGCCAUAAUCAGUUAUAAAGAAGAACGUACAUUAGGUUGGAUAGACUCUUCAACAAGCACUAAUAAAUUGUUGUGAUAUCAACUUUUGCAGACGGCGAGUUUUGAAGCAAGAAGUUGACUAUUCCAUCAGGUAUGGAAGGUGGUUUCCAACCUGCUUUAAAUGCUUUUCGUACCUUUGCAGCUUCUUUACGUGAUGUGGCAAUAGCUCUCUUUAACAUGGCAUCUUUCAAUAUGAAGGGUAAUCCUAGCUGAACUUCGAUUGGUUCCAAUUUUAUUUCCAUUGACUUCAAGUUACCGAAAGAAGGGAGCUCAACCUCCAAUAAAUCAGGAACUAAGGAGAGAAUCUAAGCAAUGGGGAAUGAGGAUAAAUUACAAGUCAAUUGGUUGGUUUUAAACAAAAUUUAGAAAUAAAAUAAAGAAUCUUAAGAAGAAAGAAAAAUUAAAGCCUUAAAACAUGACAAGGUACCUGCAGAGUAGUUGAGGAAACAAUCAAUGAUUUUACAUUGGUAAAUUCUCGCAGCCAGUUAAAUAGAACCAUAGGAGCUUUAUCCCCGAUUGAAUACAUUACUGCAGCAAUAUUUACUUGUUUAACAGAAGAAAGACCGCUCCCACAUAUUUUAUGAAAAGGUAUACCGGUAAACUUAAAGGUACAAAGACUUGGAGUAAAUAGCUCGAUUUUGAAAAAGUUUGAUGAAAUACCACGCAUAGCUAAAUUGGCCCAAAAAUAUGGCUCAAAUGGGCCGACCCAUGAUCCCGGCCCAUUUUUGACAGCUCUACUGAUAUGAGAGGGUUAAUCAGUAACCCUUUGAUCAAUCUUAACGGUUUAAAAUAAAAAAUAAAAUUUGUAUGUGUGUGGUGUCUUUCUUUGUACUGCAAUUAUUCUUUCUCCUUCUUCUCCCCAUUUCAAUUCUGAGUUCUCGCUUUCCUUACAUCACAUCUAGCUAACAGCAAUUUGAUAACAAUUUUAUUAUUUGCAAAUCGUAUAGUUAGAGAUUUAAUUCAACAUCACAUAAAAAGUUUUACUAAAUUUUACAUUGUAAAGUGAGAAUUAACUAUAUUAUUAUAUUUUAAUAUAAAUGGAACCCAUAAGCUCCAACAGUCCAACAACAAGCAUCAAUGGCUGCAUAUGUUCUAUUUGUACACAAACUAAGAGAGACGAAUAACAUAAUCACUUCUCGACUUAAUUUUUCUAAUCACUCACUCAAUUGUUAGAUCCGACUAUUGGAAGCCAAUUCGACGACAUUAAUUGAUGGCCUGAAACUGAUUAUGCCAAUACGAAUUAAAACUCCUCUUAGUAAAUCAACCAAUGUUGGGCCGGUUCUACUAAUAAGGCAUCGUCGUCAUGCGUGAGUCGAAGUUCUCGUGAAGACUUCAAGGAAAAAAAUGCCAGAUUUGAAUACACUUUCUAGGUUUUUCCCCCCAAAUUGUUAUGUCCCACAUCGGAUAGAAAAGUAAGAGAGAGGAAGGUGGGAAAUUUCUUGCAGUGGUGUGGAAGUGGUGCAAGGCAGAAGUUGAUGGCCUACACAGAUAGUGAUUAUGCAGGGGACGUUGAUGAUCGAAAAAGUACGUCUAGAUAUGUAUUCUUGCUUGGCUCAGGAGCGCAGCCUCUUGUGCAUGCCAAAGUGUGUGGAUGCAUAGGAUUCUUGAAAAGCUGGGUCAUGAGCACAUAAUAAGUGCACUGUUGUUUUUUUUCAAAGAAUCCAGUUUUGCAUGCUAAGAGCAAACACAUUGAUGUUAGAUUCCACUUUCCUCGCGACUUAACAAAAGAUGGGGUGGUUAAAUUAGAGCACUGUGAUUCAAAAGAUCAAAUAUAUUAUGACCAAAUCAUUAAGGCAACAUGUGUUUCUGAAGUUAAGAGAAUCAUUUGGAGUUUGCUCAAUACAGUAGUAACAUGACAGCAAAAGUUGCAGUUCAGCUUAAGGGAGGAAUUGUUAGGAAUUAUUGAUGACAUGUCAGUUAGACGAAGUCAUUUCGUUGUUGUUUUAUUGUUUUAAUAAAGUCCCAUUUGUUAGGAACUAGCUUUGCUUAUUUUUCUGAACUACUCACCACGUUCUUAGGUGUAAACGUGGGUGCAGUCAUUUUCUUUAUUCCUAUUGUAAUGCUAAUAUAAAGCAUCAUCAGUAUUACUGAAUAAUAUAGAGAGUUUUUCACUCCAAAUAACUCUACAAAGUGGUAUCAGAGCUUCCGCUUGAAGGUGGAGCAUGAUGAAUUGAUGGGCUCACACUUGAGGGGGAGUGUUGUGUUCAAGUGUGAGUUAUAUGUCCCACAUCGGAUAGAAAAGUAAAAGUUAAACACCUUAUAAGUAAGAGGACCCAUAAACUCAUUGCCUUAAGGUUUUGGGUAAGAGUGUGGUGUCUCUCUUGCUUGUGUGGUUGUUCUAGCCUCGAUGUGGACGGUCCCACAUGCUCCCCUCAAUGACCCAACGCUCAUUUGCUUCCUGUGUUGAUAUUAAUAUUGCUUAAGCAACAGAAAAUGAGGACCAUGUUUGAUUAUCAUGCUGAUUAUAUUGAGCCGCAACUUCUUAUAAAGAUUUUAAACUAUGUUUCCUCCCAUAAUGACCACCUCCAUGAAUUAGGGAUCUAUGUCCGUGGUUAUAGUUGUCUCAUUAUGAGCCGUGUUUCUUCAUGCCGGGCCCUUACAUCUCUUAAGUUUUCACUUUCCUCCAUCCGUCGUUAUGAUAUUAGAGAAACAUUAUUUCCAAAAAAUUUGAAUUUGCCUCUAUUGAGUAGCUUAGUUUUAGAAAAUUUUGCCUUUUGCGGCGGUGGCUUAGUUUUAGAAAAUUUUGCCUUUUGCGGCGGUGAAAACGGUUGUGCUGAGCCCUUUUCGACCUUUACAAAGUUGAAUAGUUUGAUCCUUCGUAGUUGUGAGGUAAAGGAUGCUCAAAUCCUCAGCAUAUCAAGUGAGACCCUUGUCAAGUUAGCAUUGCUUGAUAACUUUGCCAAAAUUGAGCUAUCUGUUCCAAGUCUUUGUACCUUCACUUUUACCGGUGACCUUAUUCAGAAAAUUUGUGGGAGCAGUCUCUCUUCUAUUAAACAAGUAAACAUCGAUCAUGAAAUUUCACCUUCGGUGAAUAAUGCUUUGGCUCUUUUAAGCUGCCUGCAAGAUCUUGCCAAUGUAGAAUUAUUGACAGUCAAUUCAACUACUCUUGAGGUACCUUGUCAUGUUUUCAAGCUUUACUUUUUACUUUAUUCUUUAAGAAGAUGCAUUUUUUAUUUUUUGUUUUUAAAUUUAAUAUUCAUUUGACUUGCAUAAAACUAAUCCUAAUUCACCCCAAUUGCUUAGAUUCUCUCCUUGGUUCCUGAUUUAUUGGAGGUUAAGCUCCCUUCUUUUUGUAACUUGAGGUCAUUGGAAGUAAAAAUGAUACCACUUCAUCAUGGACAUUUAUUUCUAUUAAUGAAAGAUGUCAUGUUAAAGAAAGUUGCUGCUAAGUCAAGUAAAGAAGCCGAUAAGUUAAGAAAGGCGUUUAAAGCAGGUUUAGAAUUACCUGCCAUACCUGAUGGAAUAGUUGACUUCUUGCGACAAAACCCGUCGUCGGCUGAAGUUAACAUCACAACAGAUUACCCAGGUUGUUUUAAUCUUAAGCAGGUAGUUAUUUAAAAGUCAUAAGGGAGCCAAGUGUGGUAAUUAUUUUUUUGACAAUCUAAGCUUAGAUAAUUUUAAAUGAAACAGCCAUAAGAAGAGUUUGUGAUUGGUUGAUACUAAUUACUAAACAGGUUGAAGAAUCUAUAAAGGGUGAGAAGAUUAUCAACUAUCGCUCACAAAUUGCCACGCCUGCCUCUUUCUCUGUUGCACCUGCUUGUGCUGAUGAGUCUGCUUUUGCUCCUGCUUCUGCCGUGGCGUCUGCCUCGGCUGCACCUCCCAGUCUUCAUCUCUGUCGCGCUGAAAUAUAGCAUAUUAGAUUAUUGUAGGAACCUGUUAGGCCUCUUAUAAAAUAAGGAAUAGCAGUUACUGUUUUUUAAGAGGAAUGCUAGGUGCAAAUGCUUUGACACUCGCGGACGAACACACGCCAGUAUUGUUAGGCCACGUCAACCAUUUUUAAAGGGGAACUUCUACGGUACACUCACAAAAUGAGGUGUAACGGUACUAUUUUUCAUAAUUUUAUAAAUUAACGAUCAUUUUUUAUGAAAUAAAUAACUAUUUGUUAAUAUUUAUAUUUUAUAAAACAUCAUUUCAUAAGAAAAAACAUCAUUUCAUUGUUUAUAAGAAUCAUAGUAAUUUUUUAACAUAUUAUCGUAAAAUAUAAUCAAAGUUAUCAAUUAUGACUGCUAAAAAUUCAAAAAAAAAUAAUUUUAUUUCGUUAACACUUUUGAAGAAUAAGAUUUAGUUAUUAUAAAUAUAAAUGAUAGAAAAUAAUAUUUUUCUUCAAAAAACAACUCAUUUAACCAUUAAUUUAAAGAGCGAGUGUAACAGUACACUCAAAUAUAUUAGGUGUAUUAUAGAAUUUACCUUUUUAAAGGUGAUUUACCUGGUUACAGGUUAACCAAGUUGUUAACACUCACCCCUAUUUAAUUAAAAAAAUAUGUGGCACGUUAAACAUCAAACACCACGCUUCAAUCACCCAUCAACACAAACAGCUAUAAUCACACACCAUCAAUUUCUCCUUGCGAUUAACUUCUAACACCAAAUUACUGCCGUAAUCAUGUAAGAUGUGAACCACUAAAACCAACCUUAAGCAGUCUGACAACCUUAACAAUUAGAGAAAACAAAGAGGGAAUCAUCUUAUUCAACCUUCCCAUCACCAUCUCAAGAAGAAAAUUAGAAACACAGAACAGAGAAAUGCAUAAAAAGAGGACGUGAUUGUAUGAUAUAUAGCCCUCUAUCGUUGCCGAGGAAGAGGUAAUGAUGUGGCUCAAAGUACGGUGAGUGUUAACAGGCGUGUGUUAGAGCGUCUGUCAAUAACACUUCUCUUUUUUAUAAUUAAUGAUUAGUUGCAGUUACUGUUGUAGUUAUGUGUGGUUUGUGAAUAAAAUAAGGAAAAUGCAGACAUAGUUGGCUAUCCUGGACUUGUUGACAGUGACAAUUGACAGUCUUACUUUUUUUUUGCCUUUAGGGUGAUAAAUCAUCAAAUGAAGAUAAGGUGGAGAAGCACCAACCUAACAUCAACUCUUCACUUCUAGAUAAUGUGCAUUGAAGAGUUCUCACUUUGCCUUGUUACAAUGCCUUCUUUGUGAACGUUAGCGACCCAAAUUGUUGUAUACUUAUUUAGAGACCAUCUCGGAGUAUGUCUCCGAUACUAAAUUGCACUGUACAAAUCUUAUAGGAUGCAGAUUGAAUGUGUAAUGUGUGCUUGACUUUUGUUUGUUGGAGCCGACUUUUUCCCUUUGCAAAAUUAUCCUUUAUUUAAAAUAUUUUAUUUACUACUUCCGUAAAGAUGGACACUCCGCUCUUUUCAUCGCGCUAACAUUUGUAUAAAUUAUGAACGAUAUUUUUUUAUGAGAUUUUGAUUUUGAUUAAAAGUAUAGGUAAAUAUGUAUCUGAUUUUCAAAUUAUAAUAAAUCUAACAAAUCAUGUUUAAAUAUGUAUAGGUAAACUAUUCCUUCAUUAUCAACACCCUCAAAUCUUCAACAACAGAGAACAACAAAACUCAGAGCCCCAACUGAUUUAUUUUCUGCAUCAUCACCAUCAUCCUUCAUAAUUAGUUUUACACAAUCAAUUCUCUCAAAAUUAGUAUUUGUCAACGCAAAAUCAAACAUUCACUUAAACUGCAUACGAAGUUUCAACCUAAAAUCAAUUUUGACAAUAGAAACAAUUUCUAAAUAGAAAGUCAAUCAUUGUCACAUUCAGUGAAACCAUCACGUAUGAACUAAACAUACAUCGCAUGUGCUACAUCCUAUUUUGUAGCUUCAAUGCACGUGCUACCCACCGAUUAUGAAAGGUUGUACAGAGCGUGUGUGGAGAGGAUCCAGAUCCCUGUACUAUCAUGUUCUAGAUGCCCAGACAAAAGCAAAUACAAGUACCUUACAAGGUAUCAAAAAAGACACCAGACUACCCAAAAAAAAAAACAGAAGGACCCCUGAAUAAAACUACAACUCCUGUACUACACACCAAAUACCAAAAUACUUGACUCUGCUACUCCCAUCACCCUUCCAACAGACUCACCAGAACCUAGACACAUUAAUUUUCUAUCCAACGCCAAUAUUAACUUGAAACGCUGCAAUUUGCAUUCAAACUGGCCCCUAGCCUCCUAGGAUUUCAACAAUAACGCCCAGUAUCACCUGACAAAUAUCUUCUUUUAUGACACAAACAAAAUGGCCCCACGGAUACAACCACACCAUAUCACACCCGCUAGCCACAGAAAGACCAACACCAGCAACACAAUCCCACCUAUCAGCUAAACACACCCCACCACAACAGCAUCCGAAUCAGUCAGGACAGCAGCAAACAGACAGAUAUACAAAUAGAUUUCUCUAUUUCUGUAAAAUAAAUUUUGAAUUGCAAACUAGCAAGCCUCACACACUUUAAUCCAUAGGCCACCAAAUUCUCUGCCCCUCCAUAUUCACGCCACUUUUUGCUAAAGCAUCUGCAAAUGAGUUCAUUUCUCUGUUUACAUGCACAAACUCUACCUGAUGCAGUGCUGCCAAGCAAUUAUGCAGUUUGUCACUGAAGAACCGCAUUGACCAUGGACAAUCCUCACUCCUCUUAACCCAACCAAGGGCCACUUGUGAGUCGGACUCUACCAUCAACUUUCUCUCUUGAAGCCUCCUCUUCAAAAUGUUAAGAAAUGUUUGGCAAAUUAUCAUGCAUAGCACUGAAUUAGCAACAAACUAUCAACGAUGACAGGGCAGUCGAAAAAAGCCCCGUGGGUAAUAUUAGCUGACAGCAAUACUGCGGCUAAACCAUCAUUGUCAUUCCUAGAACCACAACAGAUGACAGGCAAAUAAACACAAUUAUAAGCAAAGUUGUAUCAACAAAUGGGAAUAAACGCAAUGUACUCUUCCGUACAAGAUCAUAGCACAACACCAAAAGUCAUCGAUAAACAAGGUCUAGUAGCAACAAACUGCUACGUGAAGGCUCCGAACAACAAAAGACAAGGACAUAUUACAUAUACAAUAUGCAGCGUAUAGGUUUUUUGUAUACUGCAAUUUAGUAUCCAAGACAUACUCCAGAAUAGUUAAAUAAGUAUAUUACAAUUUGGCUUUAAAAUUGGAGACUACCAGUUAGAUGAACUCAUGGACCUCAAAUGAAGAGUUCAUGUGAUCAACCAAAUGCUUCUCAAAUCAAACAUGUUUCAGUAAAGUCAGCCAAACUGAUAUUUUUCAGUUACUUAUCUGAUGUCUUAAAAGAAAGGUUCACAGAGAAGGCAUCGUAAUUUGUAUGAAAUAUGAGAACUCUUCACUGCUCAUUAUCUAGAAGUGGAGAGUUGUUGUUAGGUUGGUGCUUAUCCACCUUAUCGUCAUUUGAUUAUUAAUCCUCCUAAAGGCAGAAAAAGAAACACUGUCAGUUGUCACUGCAAAAUUAAUCAUAUGAAAAAAGUUUACAGCAGGUAUAGACAAAGCAAGCAAACGCGGACACCGCUUGUGUACCAUUGGGAUACCAAUGUUAUAUAACAUUGGUAUCCCAAUGGUACACAAGUGGUGUCCAGCAAAGCGGUGUCCAGCAAAGCACUAUAAUUGAGGUUGAUUGCUCAUACAACCCCUUGAAAAUGCAGGAUCUUACUGGAAUCUAGGUUUCGGUAAUGUAUUUUGACAGAUUUGAGCAAUCACCAUAAAUGAAUUUGAAAGAUUCAAAACUGAUUUUAUAAUAGAUUCCUCUAUUGUCAUUCUUGAACAAUUUUUACAAGAGUGAAUUGCAGACAAGCGUUCUCAUAGAAACCGGCACCAAAUCAGAUUUGUAACUGAAUAAUAAGUUAAUAACUGUUUUAUUGAACAAUUUUCAAAGGGAAAAGGUUCCCAAAACAGAGACAACACACACGAUUUCACACUUGCAUAUAAUUGAAAUUACAGACACGAACAACACCGAGGGUUCUCUCCUAAUCCAAAAUACCACUCAAUAAUUCCAAGAUGACCAACUAUGCCCACGUUUCCUUAUUUUAUUCACACACCACACAUAACUACAACAGUAAAUUCUAAUAAGAUAAAUAACUGCCUACUGCCCACAUUAAUUCUGUCCCCUCCUCUUAUAAAUAUUCUUUAAACGAGGCCAAACAGGUUCCUACAAUAAUCUAAUAGGCUAUAUCAUUCUCAAAUAUCACAAAAAAAGAAAUCUUCACAUGAAAACAACAAAUAGAACCCCAAAAAUUUAGUAACAGAAAUUCAAAGGGGAUACAUCAAAAUCUAUGAAGCAUGGAUAAGGACACAGACACCGGACACGACUCGGACACUGACACGCCAACACCACUAAUAAUUUGAGAAAAUCACAUAAUUCAGUGUAAUUAUAUGUGUUCGUGUGAGUGUCAGACACGACACGCGUCAGACACCGGGACACGCCUAAUCCGAAGAGUGUCCGUGCUUCAUAGAUCAAAAUGCAUGUGACGAAUGUUACCUUUUCAGCGCAACAGAGAUGAAGACUGGGAGGUGUUGACGAGGCAGGCACGGUGGCAGAAGCAGACUCAGCAGCAUGAACAGGUGCAGCAGAGGAGGCAGGCACGGCGAAUUGCGAAUGAUAGUUGAUAACCUUCGCACCCUUUAUAGAUUCUUCAACCUGUUUAGCAGCAACCAAUCACAAACUCUUAUCGUUGUUUCAUUUAAAAUUAUCUAAGCUUAGAUUCUCAAAAAAAAAAUAUCACAUUCAGUUUCCUUAUGAUUUGAUUUAUAAAUAACUACCUGCUUAAGAUUAAAACAAGCCGGGUAAUUUGUUGUGAUGUUAACUUCGGCGGAUUGCGAGUUUUGACGCAAGAAUUCAACUAUUCCAUCAGGUAUGGGAGGUGGUUCCAAACGUGCUUUAAAAGCCUUUCUUAACUUGGCAGCUUCUUUACGUGACUUGGCAGCAGCUUUCUUUAACAUGGCUUCUUUCACCAGGUUGGGUAAUGCCAUUUGAUUACUACAGGUUUCCAGUUUUAUUUCCAUAGACUUCAAGUUACACAAAGAAGGCAGCUUAACCUCUAGUAAAUCAGGAACUAAUGAGAGAAUCUAAACAAUUAGGAAUGAAAGUGAAUUAGAAUAGCUUAUGAAAGUCAAGUGAUUCUAAACAAUAUUUAAAAAUAAAAUGAAGAACCUCGAUAAGAGAGUAAUAUUAAAGCUUCAAAACAUUCAAACAUACCCGAAGAGUAGUUGAAGAGACCAUCAAUGAUUUUACAUUGGCAAGGUUUAGCAGCCAGUCGAAUAGAAUCAAAGGAGGCUCAUCCCAUCUUGAAAACAUUUCUGCUUUAAUCUUUACUUGUUUGACAGAAGAAAGACCACUCCCACAUAUUUUCUGAACAGGAGUACCAGUAAAAGUAAAGGUACAAAGACUUGGAGCACAUAACUCAAUUUUUGCAAAGUCUUCUGAAUAAUUACGCAUUUUAAAAUUGACAAGGGUUUCACUUGAUAUCCUGAGGAUUUGUGCAUCCCUUACCCUACAACUACGAAUGACCAAACUAGUCAACUUGGGAAAGGCCAAAAAGGGCUCAGCACAACCAUUUUCACCACCGCAAAAGUUGAAAUUUGUUAGAUAUAAGUUGGUUAAUGUUGGCAAAUUCAAAGAUUUUGGAAAUAAUAUUCCAGAAUUACUACAAAUACCAUCUUUAGGGUAAAUUGAAAGCAUCAGAGAAGUAAGAGCCCGACAUGAAGAAACGCAGCUCAUAAUGAGACCACAAUCACCAUUGACAGAGAUUCCUAAAUCCUGGAGGUGGGUAUUAUGGGAGGAAACAUAGUUUAAAAUCUUUUUAAGGAGUUGAGGCUCAAUGUUACCAUGACGGUCAAGAUCAAGAGCGUGCAGUGCAGUUGAGGUAUCACGAAGAGUCAAUAUGUUAGACACAAACAUGGCAAAUUGCUUAACAGUGGAAAAUCUUGAUGCAUACAACAUAAGAGUUGGAAUACGUUUCCAGAGAUGUCUCCAUCUCUUAGACAAAACACAAGUUCUGACAACAUGUUUGGUAUUCAAAAAUGACAAAAUGUGAAGGAUUAUACCGUCGGGUAAGUCACUCAGCCUGUCUUCACUUUCUUCGUUACUUUGAUUCUCACAUUUCCUUCUUUUAUUCAUCUUUUCCAGAAUCAUGCUUUCUUCGUUAGAACUACACGGGCGCUUCAUUGACAUUUUGGGUUCGAGAUAAUCAAACAUUCUCCGUAUUUUCUGUUCGUUAAGCAUAAAAAGUAAAAAUAAUUGGAAUCAUAUUACACAAAAUGAGCAAUUAUAAAGCAAGAUUCUAGUGAAAACCUAGAAAGUAUUUUGAUGUCGAUGGAUAAUAAUUUGGGGGAAAACGUAGAAAAAUGUAAAUAAAAUACCUCGCCGUCGAGCUGUAACUUCUUCGAUGGAUCGGAACGCCGAAGCAAGUACUCACACAAAGUGGAUUGAAAGGUGUAAAUCAAUUUCGGUUUCUAGUGUUCCUUGUUUUUAAUUUUUAGUGCGGGAAUAAUAAUUUCACGAGGGAGAGAAAGCCAAGUGGGAUUGAAAUGUUUGUGGAGGGUCAGUGGUUUUGUCAUCAACUUUUACUUUUUUUUUUUUUGGGUUAAAUAUGAUUUUGGUCCCUAUAAAUAUACCAACUUUUCAUUUUAAUCCCUCUAAAUUUUUCCUUUAACUUUUAGUUCCUCUAAAAUUUUUCAUCUUCAUUUUUUAUCCCUCCUUUAAAGGAAACUCAUAUGUAGAAUUCAUAUUUGGGAAUAAAAUUUUGCAGAAAAAUUCAUAAUAUUAUAAGAAUCUCUCCAAAAAAAUUUAGAAUUUUUUAAUAAAACAUAAAUUUAAUAUGAAUUUUUAUAUUUUUUUAUGGUUAAAAAUUCAUAUUAAAUUUAUGUUUUGUUAAAAAAUUCUAAUUUUUUUGGGAAAGAUUUUUACAAUAUUAUACACAUUUCUGCACAAUUUCAUUAAAAAAUGUAAAAAUUAACUUAAAAAUAGGGACUAAAAGUAGUGAUUGAAAAUUUUAUAGGGACUAAAAGUUGAAUGAAAAUUUUAGAGGGACUAAAAAGAAAAGUUGGUAUAUUUAUUUGGACCAAAAACAUAUUUAACCCUACUUUUUUUUAGUUUAAUAUAUGUUUUUUUCUUAUAAAUAUUCCAGUUUUUUUUUUUUUGACAAGUAUGAAUGUUACAGAUUUUGUUUUUAAUUUCUCUUAAAUUUUUCUUAGAUUUUUAGUUUUCAUCUAAGUCAAUUCAUAUGUAUUAUUUAAAAUUUUGAAUUUCUUUUUCAGAAAUGUUUAACAUAUUAUAAUAAUCUCUUAGAGAUUUUUAACAAAACAUGAAUUAGAUAUAACUCAUUUAAUUCUUGUUUUACUGCUCUUAAAAAAAUUCAUGUUUUAUUAAAAAAAAAAUCUAAUUUUUUUUUGGAGAUAUCUUAUAAUAUUUUAAAUGUUUUUGCAAAAAUUCAUUAAAAAAUCUGAAGAAUAGAGACCGUUUGUUAUAGCUUUUUUAAGCAAAAAAAAUAAUCACUUUUAAGAGUGUUGCAUUUGUUUGUUAAAACUUUUUAAAAAAAUCAGAAUCUAAAAACAGCUUCAAAUGAUAAGUUGUUAAGCAGCUUCUAAAAAAAUAGAUAUUUUUUAGAAAUGAUUAUCAUUACGGUAGCUUAUCUCAGUUGGUUGGGACAAUGCAUAAAAUAUGCAAGGUUUAAAGUUCAAACCUCCGCCACUACCAAAAAACAAACGUAAAUUAGAUCUGAUAUUUCAUAAAAUCUCUAAAAUAUAAUCUCUAAAUUAUUUUAUGUGAAAAUCAUUUUUAUUUUAAUCUGUAACAAACGCGCCCUUAUUGCAUUAUAGAAUUUAGACCUAACCAUAAAUCGAAAAGCGAUGGGAACGAUGGAACCUGUGAAUACCUUACUAAUUCAUUAGAUGGGAUGGCGGACGGAACUAAGAAUUCAUUAUUUUUUGAGGAGUUGUGGACUAACCCAACAUUACAUCUUAAAUUUAUAAUGAAAGAGUGAAUAUUCGCCCGCGAAAAUGUGGAUUUUUUUUAAUUUAAUUUUUUUUGCCAAUAUGAUAAUAAAAUAAAAUAAAAAGACAAAUAUGGAUUCGUUAGAACAUUAUAUCAAAACAAGAAUUUAUUCUACUUGACGACAAGAAUUUAUUCUACUCGACGACAUAAAUUUGAGUUUUUUAUUCUAGAAUUAAUCCUUCCUUAUUUAUUAAUUUUGUUACGUUUGUAGCAAUUUAACCUAAUUUUUUCCCGCUCAUUUGCUUUAUUAGGUUUGCAAUUAUUUAACCUAACAAAUUUCAUCUAAAAAAAUGCAUCGCACCAAUUUCAUUCAUAUCCUCUUGCCUUUUUUUUUAAGAAAAUAUCUACACUUAUCCUUAUAUAUUAAUUUUGUUAGGUUUGCAGCAAUUUAACCUAAUUUUUUCCCGUUCAUUUUCUUUAUUAGGAUUGCAAUUAUUUAACCUAACAAAUUUCAUCUAAAAAAAUGUAUCGCACCAAUUUCCUUCCUAUCCUCUUACCUUUUUUUUUUUUGAAGAAAAUAUUUUCUACAUUUAUUUGAUGUUGCACGUUUGUUCUAGACACUAUGAGCAUAUCAAUGAUCACGUUAGAUGCCUUCUAUUUUAUACUUUUUUUUUCGGCUACCCUAAUUUCCAUGUAAGCUUGGUUAUAUAUACCCGAAUUAUUGAUAGGAUUACCGAAUUUUCUUUUAUAAUAUUUUCAGAUUUCAUACAUUUUAUGAAGUGUUUUAUUUUGUCUACUAUAGAUUAUCACGUGUUAUUUAUUUUUUCACCGUUACCUAUUAUAUAUUGCAUUUUAUUAUUCGUAUGUCAAUUCCUUUACAAUAAACCCGAGCGAAGUACGGGUCAAAAAUCUAGUUUUAACACUUAAAUUUAUUGUUCAACAUACCUGUACAUGAAUGUAUCCAAACAUAAAUCACUUUAUCUUCAACUCAUUUAAGUCAUAAUCAGUUUUACAAAAUCAAUUUUUAUCAAUCAAACACACGCUUAAACUGCAUACAAAAGUUUCAACUUAAAAUCAAUUUUGACAAUAGGAACAAUUUCUAAAUAGAAAGUCAAACAUCGUCACAUUAAGUGAAACCACGUAUGAAAUCUCCAACUGUGGUACUAAACAUGUCACACAUGCUACAUUCUGCUGUGUAGCAUCAAUGUGGGCGCUAUCCACCUUUUACGAAGAGUUGCAGAGAGUACGUCCCAACAAAAGCAAAUACAAGCACCUCACAAGGAAUAAAAAAGACACACCAGACUAAAAAAUAAUAAUUAAACCAAACACUUCCAACCAGAGAAUUCCCUAGACACGAAAGCUAAAGAGAAACAAGACAAUCAAAAGGACCCCUGGCCCUGACCGAUAUGCCCCCUUUACAUCAGAGAAACACACCAAAUACCAAAAUAUUUGACUCUGUUACUCCGAUCACCCUGCCAACAGAUUCACCUGAACCUAGACACAUUACUCUAGCCUACUAAGUUACCAACAAAACCACUAAACAAUCAAUUAAUUUUCUAUCCAACACCAAUAUUAACUACAAACGCUGCACUUUGCAUUCAAAUUAGCCCGUAGCCUCCUACAAUUUCAACAAUAACGCUCAGUAUCACCUGACAACUAUCUUCUUUUAUGAGACAAACAAAAUGGCCCCAUGCAUACAAACACACCAUAUCACACCGGCUAGCCACAAAAAGACCAACAUCAGCAACACAAUCCCACCUAUCAGCUAAACACGCCCCACCACAACAGCAUCCGAAUCAGUCAGGACAGCAGCAAACUGACAGAUAUACAAAUAGAUUUCUCUAUUUCUGCAAAAUAAAUUUUGAAUUGCAAACUAGCAAGCCACACACUUCAAUCCUCAGGCCGCCAAAUUCUCUGCCCCUCCAUAUUCACGCCACGUUUUGCUAAAGCAUCUGCAAAUGAGUUCAUUUCUCUGUUUACAUGCACAAACUCUACCUGAUGAAGUGCUGCCAAGCAAUUAUGCAGUUUGUCACUGAAGAACCGCAUUGACCAUGGACAAUCCUCACUCCUCUUAACCCAACUAAGGGCCACUUGUGAGCCGGACUCUACCAUCAACUUCCUCUCUUGAAGCCUCCUCUUCAAAAUGUUUAGAAAUGUUUGGCGAAUUUUCAUGCAUAGCACUGAAUUAGCAACAAACUAUCAACAACGACAGGGCAGUCGAAAAAAGCCCCGUGGGUAAUGUUUGCCGAAGGCAAUACUGCAGCUAAGUUUUAUAAGCAAAGUUUUAUCAACAAAAUGAGAAUAAAUGCAACGUACUUUUUCGUACAAGAUCAUAGCACAACACUAAAAGUCAUCGAUAAACAAGGUCUAGUAGCAACUAACUGCUACGUGACAGCUUCGAACAACAAAAGACAAGGACAUAUUACACAUACAAUAUACAGCGUAUAGGUUUUUUGUAUACUGCAAUUUAGUAUUCAAGACAUACUCCGGAAUAGUACCUAAAUAAGUAUAUUACAAUUUGGCUUUAAAAUUGGAGACUACCAGUUAGAUAAAGUCAUGGACCUCAAAUGAAGAGUUCAUGUGAUCGACCAAAUGCUUGUCAAGUCAAACAUGUUUCGGUAAAAAAUAACACCAGUUAGAAAGGUUCACAGAGAAGGCAUCGUAAUUUGUAUGAAAUAUGAGAACUCUUCACUGCCCAUUAUCUAGAAGUGGAGAGUCGGUGUUAGAUUGGUGCUUCUCCUUCUUAUCUUCAGCUGAUGAUUUAUCAUCCUAAAGGCAGAAAAAAUAACACUGUCAAUUAUCACUGCAAGGCUAGUUUUUACAAAGCUUCACAAAAUCAGUCGGUCCUUGGGCCGGAUAUCGAGUUUUCAAAAAAAUAAAAUCAUCAUUGCAAAAUUAAUCAUAUGAAAAAAGUUUACAAUAGGUAUAAAAAAAACAAACGAACAAUAACUGAAUAUGAAAAAUUCAAAACUAAUUUCAUUACAGAUACCACGGUCGUCAUUCUUGAACAACUUGUACUUGAGUAAAUCGCAGAAAGGGUUCCUACAAUUAUCUUCUCAUUUUGAAAUAUAGCAAAAAUGGAAAAAGUCCACAUUAAAACAGCAAAGGGCAUGCAAAAUCUUAGAAACAGAAAGUCAAGCGGAUCCAUCAAAAUGAAUGUGAUGACUGUUACCUUUUCAGCGCAAUAGAAAUGAAGUUUGGGAGGUGCAGCAGAGGUAGGCACAGCGGCAGAAGCAGGCAUGGAGGCAGAAGCAGGAGCAGUAGGAGGAGCAUAUUCAGCAGCAGAAGCAGGUGGGGCAGAGGAGGGGGCAGACGUGGCAAGUUUGGAACGAUAGCUGAUGAUCUUAGCGCCCUUUAUAGAUUCUACAACCUGCUUAGUAACAAACAAUCACAAACUCUUCUUAUGGUUGUUUCAUUUGAAACUAUCUAAGCUGAGAUUCUCAAAAGAAUUACCACACUCAGCUCCCUUAUGGAUUUUAAAUAACAACCUGCUUAAGAUUAAAACAAUCCGAGUAAUCUGUAAAGAUGUUAACUUCCGCAGACGGUGAGUUUUGUCGCAAGAAGUCUACUAUUCCAUUAGGUAUGGCAGGUGGUUCCAAACGAGCUUUAAAUGUCUUUCUUAACUUAGCAACUUCUUUACUUGACAUGGCAGCAUCUUUCUUUAACAAGGCAUCUACGAUUGAGCGGGAUGAAGAUCCAUCAUGAAAUGGUAUCAUUUCUAUUACCAAUGACUUCAAGUUACAUAAAGAAUGUAGCUUAACCUUCGAUAAAUCAGGAACUAUGGAGAGAAUCUAAGCAAUGAGGGUGAAUUAAAAUCAGUUUUACACAAGUCAAUUGAACUUUAACAAAACUUUAAAACCAUAAAAAAACAUCUUAAGAAGAAAGUACAAAUAAAGCCAGAAAACAUGACAAUUGACCUGAAGAGUAGUUGAAGUGACUCUAAAUGAUUCUACAUUCGCAAAGUCUAGCAGCCAGCUGAGUAGAAUCAAACCAUUCCCCGCUGAAGCAUAAAGCUGAUGUGAAUCAUCAAUAUUUACUUGUUUAACAGAGGAAAGUCCGCUCCCGCAUAUUUUUUGAAUAAGACUACCAAUAAAAGUAAAUGUACAAAGACUUGGAGUAGAUAGCUCUAUUUUGGCAAAUUUGGAUGAAGUGUCAUGGUAAGAUAACUUCAUUUUUUCCAAAGGAUAAUGUAUAGCUAAAUUGACAAGUGUCUCACUUGAUAUGUUGAGGAUUUGAGCAUCCUUUAUCUUACAACAACGAAUGCCCAAACUAUUCAACUUUGGAAAGGCCAAAAAGGGAUCAGCACAACCGCUUUCACCACCGCAAAAGACUAAAUUUGCUAAAUCUAAGUUGGUCAACAAAGGCAAAUUCAAAGAUUUUGGAAAUAAUGUUUCUUCAGAAGUAAAAUAAUAAUGACCACCUCUAGGGGGAAGUGAAAGCUUAAGAGAUGUAAGAGCGUGGCAUGAAGAAACGCAGUUCAGAAUGAAACCACUUCCACCACGGAGAGAGAUUCCUAAUUCGUGGAGGUGGGUAUUAUGGGAGCAAAUAUAAUUUAAAAUCUUUUUAAGGAGUUGAGGUUCAAUAUCACCACGACGAUCAAGAUUGAGAGCUUGCAGAGAAGUUGAGCUAUUGCGAAGAGUCAAAAUGUUAGACACGAAUAUGGCAAAUUUCUUGACAGUUGAAAAGUUUGAGGAAUGUAAUAUAAGGGUAGGAAUACGUGCCCAAAGAUGCUUCCAUCUUGUGGACAAAACACAGGUUUGAACAGCAUGUUUGGAGUCCAAAAAUGAUAAAAUGUGAAGGAUAACACACUCGGGUAAGUCACUUAGCUUGUCUUCAUUUUCUUCAUUUUCAGUCUCACAUUGCCUUAUUUUUUUCAUCUUUUCUUGAAUCCUGAUUUUCUUGGAAGAAUCGUACGCGCGCCUCAUUUUCUGUAUGUUAAGCAUAAAAAGGAAUUAUAAAGCAAUAUUUCAAGCCUUUCUUAAAAUAAAAAAAAAUAAAAAAACAAUACUUCAAGCCAAAGCAAAUUGUUCCAAAAGCAAGUGUUAUAGUACGACAAUAGGGCUGACAAUCAACCGAACCAACUCCAAAAUAGUUCGAGACUCAUUUGAUAAUUAACUCAUUGAACUUUGUUCAUGAACCAAAUGAGUUGAACUCGAACUAUACUGUCUAUACAUAACCCCACUCAUUUGGUUCAGGAGCAAGCUCGACACACACUACACUAUCACAAGUCUGUUAACACACAUUACUUCUCUAACAUUCAUAAUUUCAAUUAAAUGGGUGCCAUGUUUUAACAGGAUUUGAAUCCAAGUGAGUAAAGUGACAAAAUCAAGGAUUGUUAUUUUAAUCAACUCAUGAUUUGUUACAGUGGAUCAACAAUAUAUAAUUUUGAUUUGUUAAUUAACGUUGAUAUUAUUCAUUUUACACUCAAAAGUGUCUAUAUUAACAAUACUUAAAUGUAAAUGAGGGGGAAAAAAAAGUUUGGAGGCGAUCUGAUUCUUAUUGAGUAGGAGUGAUGGGUCAGAGAAAAAAAAAAUUAGAAAAUUGAAAUUGAGUUGGAGAAUGUAGAAAAAAUACCUUGUCGUCGUCGUCGAGUAGUGACUUUUUCGAUGGAUUUGAAUGCUGCAGCAAGAACUCUCAAAAAAUAGAUUGAAACGCUUUCAAGGAUUUGUUACUUCAAUUUUGAGCGAGGGGGAAAAAGUUAUUGAGGGAGUAAGCUUUUUCAUUUUUUGUCCUUAUCGAAGGAGUAAUAUAUGAUUGCUUAAAAAGAUUAAAAAUAAUAAUAUAUGAAUUUUUUAGGGCAUGAUAAUAAUAUUGAGCUUGGUCCCUCAACUUAUUUUUUAAUUUUAUUUUGAUUCCUUAACUUUAAAUCAUCUCAAUUUGGUCUCAUAACUUUAUCUCCGUUUAUUUAAGUGGUCUCUUCUGUUAAAAAAAAAAACUAAUCGAAGGAACCACUUAGAUAACAGAGGUAAAGUUAUGGGACCAACUUGAGACGGUUUAAAGUUAAGAGAUCAAAAUGAAAUUCAAAAAUAAGUUGAGGGAUCAAAGCAUGUAUUAAGCCUAAUAAAAAUAAUUUUAAUAUCUAUACCUAUAAUUUUAAUCUAAAUCAAAAUAAUUUCAAUUAAAAAAAAUUUAACAUUAUUAAUAAUAAUAAUAAUAAUGAAAUUAACAUAUACAAAAGAAAUAUAUUCCAAAAUCUAUAUAACAAGAAUCUAAAUUUAAUUAUUGAGUAGAUUAAUUAUUGAUCAGACUUUCCUACUUAUUAAUAAUCGAACUUCAAAUUACCACUAUUUCUUUCUCCAAAAAUUGGAUGGUAUAUUAUACUAUAACACUUUUUUUUCUAAUGAGUCAAAUGUAAAAAAAAAAAAAAAAUUAUUGGAAGGUAUAUUAACUUAUUUUUGAAUUUCAUUUUGGUCCCUUAACUUUAAACCGUCUCAAUUUGGCCCCAUAACUUUACCUCUGUUAUCUAAGUGGUUCAUUCGAUUAGUUUUUUUUUAACAGAAUGGACCACUUAAGUAAACGGAGAUAAAAUUAUGGGACCAAAUUGAGAUGAUUUAAAGUUAAGGAACCAGAAUAAAAUUCAAAAAUAAGUUGAGGGAUCAAAGCAUGUAUUAAGCCUAAUAAUAUAUAUGAUUUCCUGCAGAAAAAUAAUAUAUAUAUAUAUAUAUAUAUAUAUAUAUAUAUAUAUAUAUAUAUAUAUAUAUAUAUAUGAUUGUUUAGCUUUUCUAGUUUUGGCUUAUAAAAUUUAUUUAUUUUUUGCACAUGAGAACAAACAUCAUUUAUGUUUAGAUCUUGUUUCCUUUGUAAAUAUAUUUUCUAUAUUCAUUUAUAAAAAAAAAAUGAUACGAUACUUUGAAAGUAAAGCAUUAUGAUAAAAAGAAAUGAAAUGUUCGAAUUUUGAUUGGAAAAGUACUCAUAUUCAGUGAUCAGCAUGUAUUAUCUCUUCUAGAAGGAAUAUAUUGUUAGAGUAUAUGUAAAUAUAUUAUAUGUAAAUAGCAAUAAGUAGCAUAUCAAUCAGUAGUAUGAUACUGAGUUAAUUAGUUUCGGUUACCACCAUAAUUAUGGCUAAGUCAACUAUUGUAAUUGGUGUAUAUAACCACAAUCCUGUUAAUGAAAUAAGGAAGCAAUUAUAUUCUUUCAUGGUAUCACAAGUCUAGGGUACGAUCCAUAUUGCUUCCGCCGCACCCUAGCUCUCUUCUCCUUCCUUCUCUAAUUCUCUCAUGGCAACCCCCACGACUGAAUCUACCAAAUUCCACCCGGCUCUUGCUGUUUCUAAUAUCAAGAACCAUAUCUCCAUCACUCUUGAGAUCGAAAACGUCCAAUAUGCGACAUGGGCAGAACUGUUCAAGAUUCAUGCCCGAUCUCACAAGGUCCUCCACCACAUCAUCCCGCCGGCGACAGGCAAAUCGAAGGGCCCUAAAACAGAUGAUGAAAAGGAAUUGUGGUCAACCCUUGAUGCUGCGGUCCUCCAAUGGAUCUAUUCAACAAUUUCGCACGAUCUGCUGCAUACUAUCAUUGAACCAGACGCCACCGCGAUGGAGGCGUGGAAUAGGUUGCGUGAUAUAUUCGAAGACAACAAAAAUUCUAGGGCUGUAACACUUGAGCAGGAAUUCUCCUCUACCAACAUGGAAGAUUUCCCAAACGUUUCUGCCUACUGUCAACGACUCAAGGAGUUGUCAGAUCAACUCAAAAAUGUUGGUGCACCGGUCUCAAACAACCGUCUUGUCCUUCAAAUUGUGGCUGGCCUCUCUGAAGCGUACAAUGGAGUAGCCACACUCAUCCGCCAAAGUGAUCCUCUUCCACAAUUCUAUCAAGCUCGCUCAAUGCUCACUCUAGAAGAAGCCGGUCUCAUGAAGAAGGUUGCAACCAGCGGGGGUGCAGCCAUGAUGGCUCGUGAAACUAGUGACAGUCCCUCCCUCUCUAAAAAUUACCAACAAAACCGUAAUAAUCAUGGCGGUAAACAUGGUCAGAAUCGUCAAAAUAGUGGCAAGAACAAUGGUGGCCGCGGAAGUGGCAAGAACAGCCGCGGUGGUGGUCGUGGUGGCAUCCGCAACGGUGGCGGGCAGCAGCAAUACGAUCAACAGCGACCGGGGCAGCAACAGUGGUCUGCCGGGCAGUGGCAGUGGCCUUGGAUGCCGUGGGGUAUGCCACCUUGCCCAUACCCCUCCUCACCAUGGGCCAGACCCAAUUUCCAACAUGGGCAGCACGCGCAACAACACCAGCCAGGCAUCCUUGGGUCAAAACCACCUCAAGCAUACACGGCAGCAGCUCCGCUCACUCCAACUGACAUUGAGGCAGCGAUGCACACUCUUGGGCUUAAUCCUACGGAUCCAAAUUGGUACAUGGACACUGGUGCCACAUCCCACAUGACUUCCGAGCAAGGUAAUCUCUCGUCUUAUUUUAAUUUGAGCAAUAAUCGUGGUAUCAUUGUCGGUAAUGGUCAUUCAAUUCCAAUUCGGGGUUACGGUCACACAAAUUUGUCUUUCCCAAAUCCUCCCUUAACCUUGAAAAAUGUCCUGCAUUCCCCUCAACUUAUUAAAAACUUAGUGUCAGUUAGAAAAUUUACAACUGAUAAUUCGGUUUCUGUUGAAUUUGACCCUUUUGGCUUUUCUGUGAAGGAUUUCCAGACGGGGAUGCGUCUAAUGAGAUGUGAGAGCCGGGGAGACCUUUAUCCCAUCACCACCAGCCAAGCCAUUUCACCAUCUACUUUUGCAGCUUUAGCACCAUCUUUGUGGCAUGCUCGUUUAGGUCAUCCGGGGGCACCUGUUGUUGAUUCCGUUCGAAAAAAUAAAUUUAUUGAAUGUAAUAAGGCUAGUGGUUCUCAUAUUUGUCACUCUUGUUCUCUUGGAAAACAUAUUAAGUUGCCAUUUGUUUCUUCUAAUUCUUGUACUGUUAUGCCAUUUGACAUUAUCCAUAGUGAUAUUUGGACAUCUCCUGUUUUGAGUUCUUCGGGCCAUAGAUAUUAUGUUUUGUUUGUGGAUGACUACUCUAAUUUUUUGUGGACAUUUCCAUUGUCUAAAAAAUCUCAAGUUUUUUCCAUUUUUUUUAUCUUUUCGAACAUUUAUCCGAACCCAAUUUGAACGGGAAGUAAAAAAUAUUCAAUGUGAUAAUGGUAAAGAAUUUGAUAAUAGACAUUUUUGGGAAUUUUGUAAAGAAAACGGGGUAGCUUUUCGCCUCUCUUGUCCACAUACAUCAUCUCAAAAUGGGAAAGCCGAGAGAAAAAUCCGUACCAUCAACAAUAUUAUUCGUACACUCCUUGUCCAUGCAUCUUUACCACCUUCAUUUUGGCAUCAUGCUUUACAAAUGGCCACCUAUCUUAUCAACAUUCUGCCAAACAAACAAUUAGCAUAUCAAUCACCUCUCAAAAUUCUUUAUCAAAAGGAACCUUCUUAUUCUCAUCUUCGGGUGUUUGGGUGUUUAUGUUAUCCUUUAUUUCCCUCUACCACCAUAAACAAACUUCAAGCCCGUUCUACCCCGUGUGUUUUUUUGGGAUACCCAUCUAAUCAUCGUGGUUACAAAUGUUAUGAUUUGUCCUCUCGUAAAAUCAUAAUCAGUCGUCAUGUCAUUUUUGAUGAAACCCAAUUUCCCUUUGCUAAGUUGCACAAUCCACAACCUUAUACAUAUGGUUUUAUGGAUGAUGGACCCUCUCCUUACGUGAUUCAUCACUUAACCUCACAACCUAGCCUAGGUCAACCAGCCCAACAUGACCUUCCCAACACUCAACCUACUACUCAACCUACAACACCAGAAGAACAACAUGCCCAUAGCCCACCAUCGUCAUCACCAAAUACCUCACCUAGCACAACAGCUACACCUUCACCUCCAUAUCAGCCAACUCCUAUUUCGGUUCCCAAACCCGUAACACGUAGUCAGCAUGGAAUUUUCAAACCUAAGCGACAAUUAAAUCUUAAUACUAGUGUCCCUAGAUCCCCCUUACCACGUAAUCCUGUGUCUGCCCUUCGUGACCCGAAUUGGAAAAUGGCUAUGGAUGAUGAAUUUAACGCUCUUAUUAAAAAUAAGACGUGGGAGUUGGUGCCCCGUCCACCUGAUGUAAAUGUGAUUCGGUCUAUGUGGAUUUUCACUCAUAAAGAAAAAUCUGAUGGUGUUUUUGAGAGGUAUAAGGCCCGUCUUGUAGGUGAUGGCAAAACGCAACAGGUUGGCGUGGACUAUGGGGAAACUUUUAGUCCAGUGGUCAAACCGGCCACUAUCCGCACUGUUUUGAGUUUAGCUCUCUCUAAAGCAUGGUCUAUUCACCAACUUGACGUGAAGAACGCUUUCUUGCAUGGAGAACUCAAAGAGACUGUGUACAUGCAUCAACCCAUGGGGUUUAGGGAUCCAAAUCUUCCUAAUCAUGUAUGCUUGUUAAAGAAAUCUCUAUAUGGGCUCAAACAGGCCCCUCGGGCUUGGUACAAGAGAUUUGCUGAUUAUGUUUCUACUAUUGGUUUUUCUCACAGUACUUCGGAUCAUUCUCUCUUUAUUUACCAGAAAGGCACAACUAUGGCUUACAUUCUUUUAUAUGUGGAUGAUAUUAUACUGACAGCCUCCUCUGAUGCUCUUCGCAUGACUAUCAUAUCCCUCCUUAGUACAGAAUUUGCUAUGAAGGAUUUGGGGUCAUUACAUUACUUCUUGGGUAUCGCUGUAACUCAUCAUACAGGUGGAUUGUUCUUAUCUCAACGAAAGUAUGCAGCUGAGAUCAUUGAACGGGCUGGCAUGGCAGCAUGUAAAUCAUCUUCUACUCCGGUUGACACUAAACCGAAGCUUAGUGCUAAUUCCAGCGCACCAUAUGCAGAUCCAUCUCAUUAUCGAAGCCUUGCAGGUGCUCUUCAAUACCUCACUUUUACGAGACCUGAUAUUGCUUAUGCUGUGCAACAGGUGUGUUUAUUCAUGCAUGACCCAAGGGAAGAACAUAUGCAUGCUCUCAAGCGCAUUGUGCGCUACAUUCAGGGUACUCUGGAUCAUGGUUUGCAUCUCUAUCCAUCCUCCACAUCCACUCUCAUUUCUUAUACAGAUGCUGAUUGGGGUGGGUGUCUGGAUACCCGACGCUCUACGUCUGGUUAUUGUGUGUUUCUUGGUGAUAAUUUAAUUUCUUGGUCCGCCAAACGGCAAGCUACUUUGUCACGUUCUAGUGCGGAGGCAGAAUACCGAGGCGUUGCCAAUGUGGUUUCUGAGUCAUGUUGGUUACGUAAUCUUCUUCUUGAGCUUCAUUGUCCUAUUCGAAAGGCUAGUUUGGUGUAUUGUGAUAAUGUUAGUGCGAUUUAUCUCUCUGGAAAUCCGGUUCAACAUCAGCGCACUAAACAUAUCGAGAUGGAUAUUCAUUUUGUUCGCGAAAAAGUUGCUCGUGGGGAAGUUCGAGUCCUACACGUCCCCUCACGCUACCAGAUUGCAGAUAUUUUUACAAAGGGCCUUCCCUUGGUUCUGUUUGAGGAUUUUCGGAACAGUCUCAGCGUACGACAACCUCCCGUUUCGACUGCGGGGGUGUGUUAGAGUAUAUGUAAAUAGCAAUAAGUAGCAUAUCAAUCAGUAGUAUGAUACUGAGUUAAUUAGUUUCGGUUACCACCAUAAUUAUAGGCUAAGUCAACUAUUGUAAUUGGUGUAUAUAACCACAAUCCUGUUAAUGAAAUAAGGAAGCAAUUAUAUUCUUUCAUAUAUGAAAAUUAAAAAAUAAAAAUAAUCAAAUUUUAUACAAGAGUAAAUUACACUCCCCUCCUUAAAAGUAGCUUGAAUUACACUCUCCUUAAAAUAUACACUUCUCUCUCUUUCGUAAAGUAAAAUUUAUACUCUCUUCUCUUAUAAGAUGUUUAAUUACACUCUCCCCUUAAUAAUUAAAUAUGCACUACACUUUAAUCUACUUUAACCUAAAUAAAUAUUUUUAUGAUAUAUACUAAUUUUGAACUACCAUUUAAGAAAAAUAAAUUCAUUUCUUUAUAAUUUAAAUGUCAAUGAUAAUUAAAUUUAAAUAUUUUUCUAUUAAUUUUAUAAUUUAGAGUAUAAAAUUAACUUUUAAAUAACCAUGUUAUAUUAUCUUUAGUAAUUUUUUACAUAUUUUAAUUUUAUUUUGGGUUGUUUCAUAUUUUAUUAUAGGGUUUAAAACUACACUUUAAUUCAAUUGUGAAUAAAAAAUAACGAAAAAUACGUAUUCAAAUGUAUUAAAAAAUAACGCAAUACUAUUUUUUUUUCAAAUGUGUUAGUUUUUUUUUUUUUUUUUUUGCAAGAUUAUUAGAAUGAAAAAAAAAUAUUGAGCGAUUAAAGUGUAGAUUUUAACAUAAGAGUGGAGGGAAAUGUAAUUCAAGUUUCUCUUAGGGGAGGGGAGUGAAAAAAUUCUAAUAUGUUUUGAAUAAGAAGGGAGGAAAGUGUAUACUUUAACAUAAAAAAGGAGGGGAGUGUAAUUCAAACAUUUUGAAGGGAGUGUAGUUUACUCUUUAUACAAAUAAUUUCUCUUCGAAGCUUUUUUAAUGUGAUGUAAUAAAUCACAAAUAUGACUGAGCAUCUAAAUGUUUUCCUAACAAGUAUGCCAUAUUGUGGAUUUUUAGUUUGUCAAAGAAUUGUCAAACUCUAUAAUCUAACCAACUAGUCGUUACCAACAAUGACAUUGUUAGAGUGUCUCUUUAUAUGUAGAGCUAAAAAUGUUGCAGCUCAUAGUCUUGUAGGAAUAGCUAAACGUAUUGGCUCCAAAAGUUGGGUGGAAAAUGUCUCAGAACCUACUGCCUCAAUGAUAUGGUCUGAUGCUUUGUCAUUCUAAUGAAAUGAGGUUUCUGUCAAAAAAAAAAAAAAAAAAAAACAGUGACAAACCGAUAGGACCUGUAAUAUUUUUUUUUUAGAAACUAAAAUGGAUUAAAAUAUCGAAAGUUUGGAGAUUUCAGCACAAGGAGUGCCAAAACCCCAGCUAAAAGAGUCAGUUACAAGAGUGCCAAAUGGCCAAAACAUGAACAAAAUAGAAGGUUACCAUGUUACAUAAAUAUUCCUAAGCAAGGUAAAGGGUUCAACCACCAUGAAUGGUAGGAGAAAACAAAACUAAGUCGGUUCGCUUUCAGCCACCAAUAUGAUUGGAGCUUAACUUUAUCUAACAAUUGAUUAAAAGAAGCUUCUUUUUGGUGAAAUAUGCGAGCAUUUCUUUCAAGCCAGAUCACCCACACACAAGAUAGCCAAAUAAGAUUAAGAGUUGAGUGUUUGCUGUUAGAGAAGCCGCUAAAGGUGCCAAAUUGAUAUAAAUGGUCUAACACAUUUUCCGGAAACACUAAUUGGUAACCAAGCCAGUGAGAAAUGUCAUACCAAAGUUUGCCAAAAAAAUCAUAAGAGAAAUGAACAUUCGGAUGUAAAAUGUGUCUUUUGAUUAAAUUUUCCGUUGUAGUUAAUCUAUCACGUAACAAGCGCUAAGCGAAGAGACUGAUUUUCAGAGGCACUUCCUUGUUCCAAAUUUCAGUCAUCUGAGUAACCACCAAGUUGUUACUGGUGAAUGUCAACAUAUGAUUAUAAGCACUUGUAACUUUAUAACUGUUGGAGGCAUGCAAGUGCCAAAUCCACCUGUCAGGAUGAUUAGGCUGCAAAACAAUAUUAGAUAAAAAAUCACAACAUUCCUGCACUUUCUCUUCGUCCCAAGCCAACAAACGACGCCGCCACUACUAAGCUUCACCCUCAACCCCCCACCCAGAAGAAUACAUUUCAGCCACCGUUACCAAUUUAUUAGUAGCAAGAUCAAAAAGGCGACUGAAACUAUUCUUCAUAACUAACACAUCAAUCCAAGGAUCCCACCAAAAUAAAGUUUGGGCACCAUCUCCUACCUCCCGCCCAACAUUAUCAUCAAACCAACUCCCACCUCCCACACCAUCCCCAUUUUUAACAUUUAUCAAAUUAUUCCACCAAACAGAGUUAAACCGCCCAUGUUCGGCAAUUUUACCUCCUACCUCACCGUAUCUAGCAAAUAAAACUCUAUACCACAAACUUCUAUUUUCAACCCGCAUCCGCCAACACCAUUUACCAAGUAAAGCUAAGUUAAAUUCUUGAAUCCUUCGCACACCUAAACCUCCCUCCUCCUUUUUGGAACAAAUAGUGUCCCAGUUAAUCCAAGAAAUUUUCCUAACCUCCUCACAAACCCCAAAAAAAAAAACAAUUAAAUAUAGAUUCAAUGGAAGAAAUGAUACAUGCGGGAGCUUUGAAGAAGGAAAGAAAGUAGAUCGGAAGAGAGGACAAGACAGACUUUAGGAGAACUAAACGGUUAAUCAACGGUUGCCAAAAUUUUAGUUUUUGAGGAUCACCACCUAUAAGCAACCCCAGAUAAAGGAAGGGGACUCUGCCCAAUUUGCAAUUAAUGACAGAAGCUGCCUCAGCCAACCAAGAAUCAUGAAUAUUAACACCAACUAACAUACUUUUGUUGAAGUUCACCUUAAGACCAGAUGUCACUUCAAAGAGAAGAAGCAGAGCUUUCAACGCUCUAAUAUUGGCCCAGCUUCGCUCCCCAAUCAACAAGGUGUCAUCAUCAAAUUGUAGAUGAGUGAUGAAAACAUGAUUAUUUGCGCCAACCUUGUAGCUAGAGAACAGACCAUCCUCUACAAGAGCCUUCAUCAUGACAUUUAACCCUUCAGCUGCUAUUAAAAAUAGAAAAGGUGAAAGAGGGUCACCUUGUCUCAACCCAUGUUCAAGUUUGAAUUCAUCUGUUGGGCUACCAUUAACAAGAACAGAAGCUAAGGCCAUACUGACACAUGAUGAGAUAAAACCGCAAGUGCACGGUCUUACCGAAGUAGUAAAAUAUGAGUAUCGUUCCGACAGGGAGUUAUGAAUUCAAUUAACUUUAGAUAAUGAUUAGACUGAAGAUUUUGUAAGGUAGAAAGGUUUGUAUUUUUAAUUGAAAGCAAAUAAUAAAAUAAAAGAUAAAAGCCUUGGGAUUAUUGGUUCAUCCUAACGACAAGUCCUUCUCAAACCAAACUAUUAAACUUAUAACUUUAUGUUAGACCUAAUUUCUCAAGACAGUUUCUCUUUUGUUCCUCUAGCAACCAAGCCUAUUUCGCUGACUUGAUUACUAUUAGAUUUUGGUUCCUCUAACAACCAAGCCUAUUUCGCUGACUUGAUUGUUAUUAGUUCCCUUGAAGAUCGAAACUAUAUGUCUCAAAGAUUGCAAAUCCUAUUUCGCUGACUUUGCAAUCCUUGUCUAAAUUCACUUGUUCGAAUAUCAAAGCUCCACUUUCGUUUUAUGAAUUGAUAUUUGAGAUGAUGGAUAAACAAUUAUCAAACCCUCCACUUUCGUUUCCACGGUUUGAUAAUGGUUGAUCCAUGUUAAAGCGGUGAAUUUAGAUAAGGAAUUAGGGUUACAUAAGAUUAAGGUUUAAAGCAUGGUUUGAUUAGGAUUAUGUCAUUAGACUUAUCCAACAAUCCCAAGACAAGAGAAGUCUACUCACUGACGUUCAUUGUAGACAAGGAGAAGAAGAGAGAAAACAUAAAAGUAAAUAACAAAGAAAGUAAAAUGAACUUUUAUUAGAAAGACAAUUGUCACAUAUUGUAUUCCAAGAAAAGAUGAAUAUUUGUGAUGGCUAGCUACUCUAUUUAUAGUACACAAUUGACUUAAAAUCUAAGCAAGUAUAUUCCAAGAAUAUUCCUCGGUAGAUUGUGCGCCAAAAUAGAAUAGCUUGGAGUCCAAGCAAAAGCAGCAAAAGGUGUUCUGGAGAAUAUUCCAAGUAUAUUCCACGAGACAUAUUUUUGUCUCCGAAUCUUCAUAUUUUUGUACCGAAUCAGCUCCAAAUCCCUUUCUUUUGCUCCAAGACUCAAUCCAUCCAAUAUUCGUUCCUGAAAUAUAAUAAAAUGCAAUUGUAGUAAAAUAGUUCAAGAAAGGAAAUAAUAUUAAUAUAAAAUAAACUUAAAUCUAAAUAAAACUAAACUAAAUAACAUAUUAAAAUAGAUAAUAAAUGACUCAUCAACACAUUCCAUAAUCCACUUACUCCAUAAGGUAGGAAAAUUCAUUUUUUUCAUGACAGCUUCAAGGUAUGACCAAUUAAUGGAAUCAAAGGCCUUCUCAAAAUCAACCUUGAAAAUGAACAAAUCUUUUUUCAGGCGCUUAACAUCUCCCACAAUCUCAUUAGCGAUGAAAAUAUCAUCAAGAAUUUGUCUACCAUGAAUAAAAGCUGAUUGAGUUUCUGAAAUAACACUAGACAUAGCCCUUCACAAUCUAUUGAAGAGAACUUUGGAAAGAAUUUUGUAAAGACUUCCAACCAUAGAUAUUGGUCUGAAAUCAUUCAGGCGCUGCGGGCACUCGGUUUUAGGAAUUAAAGCAAUAAAAGUAUUGUUGAUGUCUUUUGACAACUUCCCAUUCCUAUGAAAAUCAGAUUAGAAGUGCAUAAUAUCAUCAUGGAGCUCCGGCCAAAAAUCCUUAACAAACCCCAUAUAAACCAUCUGGUCCAGGACUUUUAAAACUGUCACAAUCCCAAACAGCUUGUUUAACUUCGUCAACUGAAAAAAGUUUGGUUAGCUCACCACAUUGGCCUAAACUAAGCAUAUUAAAAUUGAGAUUCUCAAUGCUAGGUCUUUCAACAGCCACAAAUUUAAAAUGAGAUGAGAAGUGAUUGAAAACCAGUCCUCGGAUUCCUUCAACGCCCUCAACAAUAGUGCCAUUAGCAGAUAAAGAAAAAAUGGAGUUUGCUCACCGCUUAGAGGACAUAAUGCUAUGGAAGAACUUAGUGUUAGCAUCUCCCUCUUUCAACCAAAGUAAUCUAAAUUUCUGCCAUUGCAUGCUAGUGUUGAUACGAGAUAACGAAAUAAAUUCUGAAGAGGUUUGAUUUUGCUAUCACUGGCACAAGCAAAUCACAGAUCAUAUAUAUAGCAAAACACAUAGGAAAUCCAAAAUCUUACACGAAUAAUAAUAUAGGUUAGUUUUGAUCAACUGAUCACAAGCAAAGUUUUUAAAUAAUUACAAUGAUACUGAUUUUUUUUUUAAUAAAUACCUGGUUAAGUUUAAAAUCAAUCCCACACUGACGAGAUUUCAAGUUUCGCCGAAGGCGAGCAACUUUCCUUAACAUGGACUCCAUCAGUAUGUCGGGUAAUCCCAUUUGAAGUGAUUCCAGUUCUAUUUCCAGUGACUUCAAGUUACACAAAGAAGGUAUCUUAAACUUCAAUAAAUUAGGAACUAAGGAGAGAAUCUGAAAAUGAGGAAUGAGAGUAAAUUACGGUAAGUUAUGCAAUUCAAUUGAUUUUAAACAAAAUUAAGAAAUAAAAGAAGAAAUUUCUAGCAGAUAGUAAAAUUAAAGCCUUAAAACAUGCAAAGGUACCUGAAGAGUACUUGAAUGGGAGAACUAUCACCACAGACAGAGAUUCCUAAUUCCUCGAGGAAGGUAUUAUGGGAGCAAACAUAGUCUAAAACAUUUUUAAGAAGUUGAGGCUCAAUCUCACCUCGACGGUCAAGAUCAAAAGCCUGCAUUGCAGUUGAGGUAUCUCGAAGAGUCAAUAUCUUAGAAACGAAUAUGUCAAAAUUCUCCACAUUGGAAAAUCUUGAGGAAUGUAAUGUAAGGGUAGGAUUACGUUUCCAGAGAUGUUUCCAUCUCUUGGACAACACGCAAGUUCGGACAGCGUGUUUGGUGUACAAAAAUGAUAAAAUGUAAAGAAGAGGAGCAUCAGGUAAGUCACUUAGACCAUCCUCAAUGGUUAAACUCAUUCAACACUCAUUUUUUCAAUUCACACUCCACAUCAUUUUCUCUCUCUUAAUCAAUACUCAUUCAACUUUUACACUCUCCGAUGAUUUUUCAUUCAACACUCUACUCCACCACUUUUUAUUUCUUAUUCUUAUUUAAUUUUUGUUUUUAUGAUUACAUAAAAUUAUCGAUUAUAAUUAAAUUAAAAUAAUACAAUUAACUAUUUAUUUUUUAGUAGUUUUGGAAGAAAAAAAAUUGUAAAAUAAUUUAUUUUUAUUUUCUUAACUUAAAAUGCAAUACAACAAACUAAGCACGCGACACACAAACAACUUAAAAUGCAAUACAACAAACUAAGCAUACAACACACAAGUAAUUUAUUUAAUACGAUACAAAUCAUCUUCAAUCACGGUACAUUCCAAACUUUAUCCAUAUGUGUUUCACUAGAUCUGUUUGCAAUUUGUGAUGAACAUCUGGAUCACGCAACUCGGUCGAGUAUGGUUGCGGUGUACUAGAUCCAUUUCCCCCAGGUUGCUCAAAUUCGGUCCAACGUUGAGCAUAUGUAUCUCGUUCAUCCUCAACAAUCAUAUUAUGUAAUAUGAUGCAUGACCUCAUGAUGAUACCCAAAUCGGCUAUGUUCCACAAGCGAUCUGGUUCAUGGAUGAUUUUAAAUCGAGCUUGAAGCACUCCAAAAGCACGUUCGAUGUCCUUCCGACAUCACUCAUGAUGUUUUGGAAAUAACUUAUCGGGUUCACUUUGAGGAAGUCUAAUUGAUUUGACAAAAGUUGGAUAAGAAGGGUAGAUACCAUCAGCUAGAUAGUAUGUCAUAUUAUAGGGACGUUGAUUCAAAAAGUAAUUCACCCUUGGAGCCUUUCCCUAUUCCACAUCAUCAAACACUGGUGACCGAUCUAGAACGUUUAUAUCGUUCAACGUUCCCGGACAUCCAAAAAAGGCAUGCCAAAUCCAUAGAUCAUGAGAUGCAACUGCUUCAAGUAUGUGAAAUAAUUAUGUGAAAUAAGUCACAGGGGACUAGACAACACUAGGGACUAUCACUGAGGACUAGACAACACUGACAAUUUUGACCAAAUACAAACAAAUAUUUGAUUGAAAUUAAUUUUCAAACAGCUCACGCUCCAAGUUUUCUAACAGCUAUUUUUUCGGUCAUUGAGAUGCUCUUCGGAACUUAACUUUACAUACAGUUUCAUUUUCUUCAAUCUGUUUUUCUCCUUUUGCACCAAGGUGUACUCUUUCAAUUGUUCAAUCUCUUGCACCUUGAUUUCUUUGAAUUCAAUCCACUCCUUUUCCACCUCCUCCAAGGAAGCGUCCUUGCUUUUCUUUUUACCUUUUUUUUUUAGCUGCCUCCUUACCCAUUGGACGAGCACUAGAUCCUACAGAGUCCUCGUGAGAUAUCUUAGAUCCACUAUUUCCUGACCCAACAUUUCCUCCCAUUUGACUACCAUAACGUGGUUGAUCACGGAGAGUGUGUCAUUCUUCCUUUAAAUUAAAUUGAAUAUUCUUCCCACAUGCAAAUAAUUAUUGCGCUUUUGCCAAAACAUCAUCUUCUGAUCCGCUUCCUUGCAAACGCUUAACGCUUUCAUAAGCACCAAUCCAUUUAUUUAUUACUUUGCUCAUAUAAUUAAAACGGUUUCUGCAUGCAACUAGAUCCCGGGGAGAAUCAAAUGAGCAACACUCAUUACAAUACUCAGCAAUUUUACCCCAAUAUGUUUUUCCUCUCUGGUUUCUUCCGACAACACUGCUUGUUCCAUAUUUAAUCCAUGCACUAAUUAACACCAAAUUUUGUUGAGUGUUCCAUGUUGGUUCCUUACUUUUCUUACUCUUAGGAGUUGAAUCUUCUAGAUUUUGAGUUACUUCAUUAGCAACUGCCAUUCCAUCAGGAGUUAUUUGUGUUGAAAAUUCAGGAUAUUGAGAUGCACCAACACUGGGAAAAUUUUCAUUCUCCAUUGACAUAUAACCAUUAAACAGGGGUGUUUGAGAUGAAUAUCUCAUCAUAGAUCCAUAAUAUGCAUGAAAGUUUGGAACAGAGGAUGACUGGUUGAAAUUUGGUGUAAAACCAAAAUUAGUUAUGUUUUGAGGACGUUGGUUGAAAAAUUGAUUUGGAUUUGGAUAAUUGUUUGGAUUUUCGUAGUUAAAUGAGUAAUUAGAAUAAUUUUGGGUGUUGAAAUGGUUAUUAUUGCGAUCCAUUUCACUAAAAAUAAGAUUAAAACUUCACUUAGUUUGCUAAUAGAAAGAUAAUAAUAAGAUGAAGAUAGUGAAAAACUUGAUUUUUUUUUCUGUGUCCAAAUCAAAUGAACCAAAUCUCUAUUUAUAGAGAAAAAAAAUUAUGAAUUUUAGUAAAAAAAAAAUAAAAAAUAUAUUCGAGUGAAAUGAUUGAGUAGAAAUUAUUAAGAUGAUAAAAAUCCAGACAGCCAAUCACAAUCAGCCACGUGUCAUCCAUUAUCCACAAACAAUCAAUCUUCUCUCUCCGCCUCUCCUGCAGCUCACUCGCGCCUGUCGGCGCGUGUUGCGCACGCGCCAUGCUUGGCCAACUGUUGGCUUCCGCGUGUCCCUGUGGUAGCCGGUUAAACAAUGUUGAAUGUGUUCAACACUUCCCUCCUCCAUGUCAUCUCUCAACACCAUUCAACAUGCCAUUAAAGCUUCAUCACAUGUUGAAAGUCCCAUUCAACACAACCAUUGGACAUGGUCUUAGCCUGUCUUCACUUUCAUUCAUCAGUUACUUCAUUAUUCUCACUUUGCUUUCUUCUCUUCAACUUUUCUAGAAUAAGGCUUUCUUCGUGAGAAUCAAUCUGGUACGUCCAAUCCAUUCCAACGAUUUUGUAUAUCUCGAACAAUAAGAAAACAAAGUUGUGUUGAUUGCAUAAUACUACCUCCGUUCCUUCUUAAUUGUCAUUUUUUGACAUUUUACACAAAUCAAGACAAUCAAUAAUUGUUUUUAUUUUUAAUGCAAUAAGUUAUGCUUUUACUAUAAUGACAUUGUUUAUCUAACAUCUCAUUUCAUAUAUUUCUCUCUCCGCAAUAAAUAACUAAGAAUAAUAUUAAUAAAUCAACAUUUAAUGUUGCAUUGAACUUUGAAAGUAACAGUUAAAUAGGAACAAAAAAUUUCUCUAAAAGAGGAACAGAGGGAGUAUUGAACUCUCAUACCUCGAUGUCUUCAUCGAGUUGUGAGUUAUCCGAUGAGUUGAAAGUUGGAACGUUGCGGCAACUGAAACGACUCACAAAAUAAUGGAUGGAAAUGGGAAUAUGUAAUGCUUUUUCCGAUUCGUUUUAUUUAAUCCAUUGCGACUUGCGAGGGAAAACAAAAUUUGACUUGGGAAAUUGUGCCAACUUUAGAUUUUUCUAUUUUUGUCCUUUUUUUGUUUUGUUUGAGAGGACAUUUUUUUUUAAGGGGAUGCACUUUUAAAAUUUUAAACAAUAUGAUUAUUUUGCUUUUCCAUUUAUCUAUGCUAUCUAUAAAAAGAAUAGAUGACUUUGGAGGAAUAUUGGGUUGUUAAAGCAUAAAAAAAGAAAAAAAACUGGAGAUAUAUUCAUAGUGUGUUACAUUUUUUAUUUAUUUUGAAUUCACUCCCAUCAAUUAUCUUUUUUAAAGAAUAAAGGAUUAGAAGAAAAAAAUUGAUAAAUCAUGGACAAUAAAGAUUGAAUUUGUUACACUUUUUUUAAUAUUUGAAUUUACUUUUAUAUAUCUGUUAUACAUGCUAUUUGUAUUUAAAGUCGAAGAUAAUUUGGUAAAGAGAAAAAAACCAGCCUAAAAGAGUCGAAAGAGACUAUUUUCUUUAUAUAUAAUAUAGAUAUAGAUAUUAUUUGUAAUUUAUACACAUUAGCGAAAUAAAAAAAAAACGGUAAUUACUCAUAAAAAAAAUAAGAUUACCUCCCCUCAAAGAAAAAAAAUAUUACCUCAAAGGAUUGAAAAUCAAUUUAAUCCUAGAUUAUGACAUUCUCUCCAACUCACUUCCUAAAUUAUGUAAAUAUAUUUAGGAGUCUUUGAAAUUGAUAAAAUUUGUAAAUUAAGUAUCUUAUAUUAAUAUGUUACUGAUUAACUUAACUAUUUUCUCAUACAUAAAAACCUAAAUGAUAAUCAAACAAUUGAACUCAAGUGGUUAAUGAGCUCCACCAAGGAUAAAUUAUUCUGAAUAACCUAAGUUGGAUUGUGAAAUACAUUGAAUUAUGAGUCAUGAAAUUAUUAUCAAUUAGAAUGUAUAGUUUGAGAUGCGCUCCAUCCGUUUCAAAAUAAAUAGCCUAAUUUGAUUAUGUCCACUACUCACCCAACAUGCUUUGAUCGUUUUUCUACUAUUAUAUAUAAAGACAAAUGGUACUCCGCCCAUCCCAAAUUAUACGAUGUUUUGGACAUUUCACUGUAUUAAAAAACACAUGAUCAACUAUAAACAUUACUAUAUGUUAGAAAUAAAGUAGUAUCAACAAAAUGAGAAUAAACACAAUGUUUAUAUAAAAGAAAAGCUUGAAAUAGCAGGAUCAUAAAACAAAUUUAUAGCACAAAACCAAGUCAUCGACAAAACACAAACAGGGUCCAGUAGCACCUAAAUGAUUCGUGAAGGCUCCCGAAAACAAAAGACACAUUAUACAUACAAUUUGUAGUGUACAGGAUUUGUACAUUGCAAUUCGGUAUCCGAGACAUACUCCCAAAAGAAGUGCAGUAUAUUACAAUUUCGCUUCAACUAGAUGAACUCAUAGACCACAAAUGAAGAACUAUGUAAUAGACCAAAUGCUUGUCAAAUCAAAAAAUAGGUUUCAGUAAAGUCAUCCAAACUAAUAUUUGCAGAUCUGAUAUCUUAAAAUAAAGGUUCACAAAGGAGGCAUUGACGAGUCAAUAUGAGAACUCUUCACUGGCCAUUAUCUAGAAGUGGAGAGUAGGUGUUAGGUUGGCGCUUCUCGACCUCAUCUUUAUUUGAUGAUUUACUAAAGGCAGAAAAAGUAACACUGUCAACUGUCACUGCAAAAACAAUCAUAUGAAAAAAGUUUACAACAGAUAUAAAAAAGCAAAUGAACAACAACUGGAUAUGAAAGAUUCAAAACUGAUUUUAUUAUAUAGAUGGCUCUGUCGCCAUUCUUCAACAAUUUCAACUUGAGUAAAUUGCAGACAAGGUUCCAACAAUUAUCUGUUAUGAUGUCUCAUUCUGAAGUAUCACAAAAAAGGAAAUAUCCACAAAAAUUCAGUAAAGAAACUCAAAUAAAAAUGCAUGUGAGGAGUUACCUUUUCAGCGCGGCAGAGAUGAAGAUUAGGAGGUGCAGCAGGGGCAGGCACAGCAGCAGAAGCAUUCACGGAGGCAGAAGCAAGAGCAGCGGCAGAAUCAUAUUCAGCAACAGAAGCAGGUGCGGCAUAGAAGGGGGCAGGCCUGAGCCGUUCAGCAAAUCGCGAACGAUAGCUGAUGAUCUUCGCGCCCUUUAUAGAUUUCACAAUGUUAUUUCUGUUAUCUAUUAAAUAUUAUUUAAUUUUUUCAUUGAUUAUGUAUCAGAAAUAUCUUAACAAAAUAACACAAAUUCAUAAAAGUUAAUUAUAUUCUAUUCUAUAUGUCUUAAUACUUUUACUAAAUCCAAUUAAUUUUAUUUGUAUGUACAUCUAUAAAUUUACGAGUAUUUAUAAUAUGGUAUAUUUUGUUAUAUUUGUAUGUAUUUAUUAAGAUAUUCAUCCUAUACCAAUCCGUGAUAAAUUUUAUUUGCGGAUAUCAUACAUAUAAUUUUUUUUUUAUAUUCUUCAAUAUGUCUAACUCAGGCAACGCCGAGUAAAUAUACUAGUAAUUGAAAAAUUCAAAGUUAAUACACAUUCCCAUUACUUUUUUUUUUUUUUUUUUUUUUUGUGAUGGCCGGGGUUCGAACCCCUGACCUUGUAUAUUUUAUGCAUUGUCUAUACCAACUGAGUUAAACUCACGAGGACUCCUGUUACUAUUCUAAACAAAAAACUAAUUUUUAGAUUUAUUCAAUAAAUAAUGUAUGUGCUAUACUCCUUCCGUCAUAUAUUAAAUGACACAGUCGACAUUGUCACACAUACCAAUGCACAAUUUUAAUCUUAAAUAACUUUGUUAAUCUCUUAGAAAAAAUUAUAAAAAUUUGAUAUUUUGAAUAUAUUCAUCCAAACGAAUUCAACGUCAUCUUAUAUGAUAUUAUUUAUCUUUAUAUAUUAGUAGAAAAAUAAGGUAAAUAUGUUAGAUCAAUAGUGCAUAUUUUCAAAUAAGUCAUCUAUUGUAGGACGGAGAGAGUAUAUUAUAAACUACAUAGAACACUUAUUAAAUCACAAGGACGAAUAAUUCACUUUCAUCUAUAUUGCAACCAAGGAACCUAUAAAAAAAUUGAGUAGGUUCCUUUUUUUGCUGAACUGUUCAGAAGUCAAAAACAGAACCCCAAAAAUGAAAGACCAGAAAAUCUCUAGCAAGGAAAUAGAAUUAUUCUGUGGUGAUAGAGAAAAAUAGGAGUUGUAUAAUAAGUUGUUCUAUGACUAACUAUUCAAGCACCGCCAUCAUUAGGAAGCCCUCUCAAAAUGGGUCUUUCUAACAAGAGGAUGCAACUACCAUGCGAUCACACCAAGCCAUUGUUGGUUCACUAAUAGUGCUCCUGACAAGAGCAAGAGUCUUUUUAUACAACUAGAUUUGAUUUAUUAGCUAUCUUACAUACUAGGAUAUAUUCCUAUCAAACUCACAGCCAAUUGAAGCAUUGAUACUGUUCCUAACAUGGGCAACAUGCACUUUUUCUGUACCAGUAACUCAGUAGCUUUAGAUGAAUAUGCAAUUUCGGGCUACUAAAUUCAUCAGAAACAAAAUCACAUGUGAAUUUUCCAGAACAGAAAUAUUUGGAACCCAAAUACCAAUAUGUGAACACAAACCACUUAAAUCUUUAGUUUCUUAGAAAAUUUCCAGUUGACUUUACUUCCGACUUUUCAUCAACGGUUGUUCUCUUCAAGUAGUGACUAUUAGACAAAUUGAAACACAUGAUCAAUUAUAAACAGUACUAUAUGUUAGAAACAAAGUAGUAUCAACAAAAUGAGAAUAAACAUAAUGUUUAUAUAAAAGAAAAGCUUGAAAUAGCACGAUCAUAACACAAAUUUAUAGCACAAAACCAAAAGUCAUCGAUAAAACACAAACAGGGUCCAGUAGCACCUAAAUGAUUCGUGAAGGCCCCCGAAAACAAAAGACCCAUUAUACAUACAAUUUGCAGUGUACAUGAUUUGUACAUUGCAACUCGGUAUCUGAGACAUACUCCCAAAAGAAGUGCAGUAUAUUACAAUUUCGCUUUAAAAUUGGAGACUACCAACUAGAUGAACUCAUGGACCUCAAAUGAAGAACUCAUGUGAUAGACCAAACACUUGUCAAAUCAAACAACAGGUUUCAGUAAAGUCAUCCAAGCUGAUAUUUGCAGAUCUGAUAUCUUAAAAGAAAGGUUCACAAAGGAGGCAUUGUAACAAGAAAGGCAAUAUGAGAACUCUUCACUGGCCAUUAUCUAGAAGUGGUGAGUCGGUGUUAGGUUGGCGCUUCUCCACCUCAUCUUCAUUUGAUGAUUUAUCAUCCUAAAGGCAGAAAAGGUAUCACUAUCAAUUGUCACCGCAAAAACAAUCAUGAAAAAAGUUUACAACAGAUAUAAAAAAGCAAAUGAAUAACAACUGAAUAUGAAAGAUUCAAAACUGAUUUUAUUAUAGAUGGCACUGUCGCCAUUCUUCAACAAUUUCUACUUGAGUAAAUUGCGGACAAGGGUUCCUACAAUUAUCUAUUAUGAUGUCUCAUUCUGAAGUAUCACAAAAAAGGAAAUAUUCACAAAAAUUUAGUAAAGAAACUCAAAGAGGAUUCAUAAAAAUGAAUGUGAGGAGUGUUACCUUUUCAUCGCGGCAGAGAUGAAGAUUGGGAGGUGCAGCAGAGGCAGGCACCGCGUCAGGAGCAGUCACGGAGACAGAAGCAAGAGCAGUGGCAGAAUCAUAUUCAGUACCAGAAGCAGGUGCGGCAUGGAAGGGGACAGGACUGAGCCGUUUGGAAAAUCGCGAACGAUAGCUGAUGAUCUUCGCACCCUUUAUAGAUUCUGCAACCUGUUUAGUAACAGCCAAUCACAAACUCUUCAUAUGGUUUGUUUGAUUUCAAAUAUACUAAACUCAGAUUCUCAAAAAAAUUACCACACACAGCUCCCUUAAGAUUUUUAAAUACCUACCUGCUUAGGAUUUAAAACAUGCGAGAAAUCUGUGGUGAUGUUAACUUCCGCUGAUGGCGAGUUUUGUCGCAAGAAGUCAACCAUACCGUCAGGUAUGGCACGUGGUUCCAAACGUGCUUUGAAUGCCUUUCUUAACUUAGCAACUUCUUUACGAGACUUGGCAGCAGCUUUCUUUAACAUGGCAGCUUCGAUUGAUCGGAAUAAAAAUCCAUCGCGGUGAAUAAAUGGUACCAAUUCUACUUCCAAUGACUUCAAGUUACAUAACGAAGGGAGCUUAACCUCCAAUAAAUCAGGAACUAAGGAGAGAAUCUAAGCAAUAAGGGUAAAUUAAGAUCAGUCUUAUGCAAGUCAAUUGAAUUUUAACAAAUUAUAAAUUUUAAAAAAAGUAGCAUCUUAAGAAAGUAAUAAUAAAGGCUGAAAACAUGAGAAGGGACCUGAAGAGUAGUUGAAGAGAGUGCUAAUGACUCUACAUUGGCAAAGUCUAGCAGCCAGUUGAAUACAAGCAAACCAUGCCUCACCGAAGCUGAAAAUUCUCGUGAAUCAUCGAUGUGUACUUGUUUAACAGAAGAAAGUCCGCUCCCACAUAUUUCCUGAAUAAGACUACCAUAGUAUGUAAAUGUAUAGAGACUUGGGGUAGAUAGCUCAAUUUUGGGCAUGUUGGACGAAUUAUCAUGUAUAUCCACAUUAAUCUCUUCAAAAGGACUAUGUAUAGCUAAAUUGGCAAGUGUAUCACUUGAUAUGGUGAGGAUUUGAGCAUCCUUUACCUUACAACUACUAAGGGCCAAACUAUUCAACAUGGUAAAGACGGAAAAGGGCUCAGCACAACCGCUUUCACCACCGCAGAAGGCGAAAUUUGUUAUAUCUAAGCUGGUCAAUAAAGGCAAAUUCAACGAAUUUGGAAAUAAUGUUUCCGUAUAACCAUCUCUAGGGUAAAUUGAAAGCUUAAGAGAUGUAAGAGCCCGACAAGAAGAAAAGCAGUUCAAAAUGAGAGAAGUAUCACCACGGACUGAGAUAGCUAAUUCCUGGAGGUGGGUACUAUGGGAGGAAAUGUAGUUUAAAAUCCUUUUAGGGUCCGUUUGGUUCGAGAAUUAGGAGGGGAGGGGAGGGGAGGGGAGGGAUUUUUACGGAGGGGAGUGGAGGGGAGAUAUUUUUAAUUAAAAGUGUGUUUGGUUCACAAGGGGAGGGGAGGGAUUUUAACAAUAUUUUACCGUUUUACCCUUAAACUUAAUUAAAUAAAAGAAACUGUUUGUUUUUACGAUUUCAGAAACUGACAAAGACAAGCACACAUCUAAACCGCUAUUUUAUCUUAAACUGGCUCAUGUAUUUUGCUCCAAGCAUCAUAUUGUUUUUUUUUUUUUGGCUUUUUUUAUCGGAGCAAUUCUUUGUAAUAUUUUUUUUAUAAGAGCAAUUCUUUGUAAUCCUUGCAUUUUUUUCCAAUUACUUUCGUAAAAAAUAGCAUAGCUCUUAAAUAUAUGACAUAAGAAUUUUCAAAAUCAUGGAUAGUGCUUAUUAAUUAACAAUUGUAAGAUAAAUGAAAUUUGUUGCAUAUGAACAAAUAAGACACAUGAAAGUGACUAUGACUACUGUUAACUAUUUCUCCUUAAAAAAAAUAAUGAUAAACAUCAUAACAAAACAGUCUCCCUAAAAAAACUCAUAAACAUCAUAACACCAUCAUAGUAUGAUUAAUCAGAAGAACCAAAGACAGUUUCCAUUAUGACUGUUUUGCGUGCUUUGGGUGGACACUGAAUAAUCAUUCUAAGUAUGUCUACAUCUUUCAUGACAACACGAUAUAUCUUAGGCAAUGAAUUUGGGUCACAUCCACACUCCUCUAAUAAAUUCCAAGUCUCUUCUCCUGAAAUUGGAGGCAACUCGUGUUUAUGACGUUCUCUCGUUAUUUCAUUUCCUUCCCGUAUUGCAGCAUUUCCUUCUCUGAGUGCCUCUGCAACCACUUUCAUUGACUCUUUAAGUUCAAUAAUAUCAUUGUAUGUCUCUUUAUUCUUAGCCACUUUCAAUCUCUUCCUUUUUCCACCACUUGCCAUGGUUGAAGGAUCAUAUGAUUGUGUUUCAGGUAAAGUAAAGUCAUAAUCAGGAGCAUUAAAGCUCUCCAAAUCAAACCAUCUAUUGAUAGCACACAUAAGCUGAGCUAUAGCUCUUCGGCGCAAAUCAAACCAUCUAUUGAUAGCAAUUUCCUGAUCUUGAUGAUCCAUCUAAUCGCAUAAAAUUAAUUUCUAGAUUAUAUAACUCUUAUACUACAAUUAUAUAUAGACAUGUAAUAAACUACAACAAACAUAUUUAUAUAUAAACGAGGCCAUGAUCAAUAUAUGGAAGAAAAAAAAAUGAAACAAAGCAUAUAGAAAGAAAAGCAGAACGUAAAAAAGAAAAAAAAAAUCAUGAUUAAUGUAUAGAUAUAUGGAAGAUAAAAAAAAUGAAACAAAGCAUAUAGAUUAAUGUACAGAAAAAUAAAGCCAAGAUUUUACACAACAAGACAUGUAGGAUCGGUGAAUUAACAGUGAAAAAAAACACUACUAGGUUGUGAUUAUCCUAUUUUAGCUAGAAGUGAAGAUUUGCAUUUUAUAUAAGUUGUAUCUGAUACUCCAACAACAAUAAGUAUCAAUAAAAAUAAUGCACAGCUUUGAGGAUGGAUAAUGUAGUGUGCCAACAGGAACAAGUUCAAUAGCCAGCAUCAGCCUUUUAAAAAAUAAAAUAAAUGGCCUGCAUGCUUGAGAGAGGUUUUAAGUGGGAACAUGUGAAAUGUAAACAUGUCCUGAGUUUUUACUGUUCGUUUGCCUGUAGGCUGUAGCUAUUUUAUGCAAAAUUUUAUUUGUAUAUUUCUGUUCUCAUGGUAAAUUAUUUUAUUUUUUUAAAACUAUGUGCGUUUUUAGUGAAUUUCAUUUUCAAUUUGAUUCAAUGAUUACGAGUUAUAUUCAGCUAAUCCGAUAAUAGUAAGGUUGUGUAGUGAAAAAAAAUUAUGGUCAAGAUUUUACACAACAAGACAUGGAUAGGUGAAUUAAUUGUGAAAAAAAAAACAAGCAACAACAAGUAUAAUAAGCUGAAUUAAAAUAAAAUAAUAAUAAUAAUAAUAAAACUUCAACGAUUUCAUCAAAAAAAAAAAAAAAGACUUCAACGAUUUUAAAAGUGAAAAAAAAACAAUACUCUCAAAUGAAUGGAUCAAUACCAUAAGAAAAAACACACUAUGAAACAAACAAGCCACCGUAAGGAUAAAGCAACAAUUUAAACAAUAAAGUUCCAACAACGAUAACGAUUAAACAAGGAUAAUAAAGUAGCGAAUCAAUAACGAUGUAAUUAAUAAUACUACGAUAUAGACAAUGAGAUGAUGAAAUUACUCACAAUUCACUUUGGAGGAAGCCUCAAGCAGUCGUUGACAACAACAAAGUAGUAGUAAGAGCGGUUUGUACAUCUAACAAAUAAGAGUGGUAGAUUAUAUAAUAAUAAAAAUUGUUACAAGGAAAAUAUAACAAAAUAAUAAUAAUAAUAAUUGUUACAAGAAUAAGAUAACCUAAUAAUAAUAAUAAGAUUGUUACAAAAAUAAUAUAAUCUAAUAAUAAUAAAAGUUGUUACAAGGUUAAUAUUGAGAUUUGAAAUUAAUUUAAGGAUAAUUAUGGCAAUGCAAUAAAAUUUUAAAGAGAUUUGCUCCCCUCCCCUCCCCUUCCCUUCCCUUCUAAAAAUUGAACCAAACACUUCAAAUUAAAAAUCUCCCCUCCCCUUCCCUCCCCUCCCCUCCCCUCCAAAACUCUCGAACCAAACGGACCCUUAAGGAGUCGAGGUUCAAAAUUACCAUUACGGUCAACAUCAAGAACGCGCAAUGCAGUUGAGCUAUCACGAAGAGUCAAAAUCUUAGACACAAAUGUUGUAAAUUGCUUAACAUAGGAAAAUCUAGAAGAAUGCAAUAUAAGGGUUGAAAUACGUUUCCAGAGAUGUUCCCAUCUCUUUGACAAAACACAAGUUCUCACAACCUGUUUUGUAUCCAAUAAUGACAAAAUUUGAAGGAUAACACCGUCAGGUAAGUCACUCAGCCUGUCUUCAAUUACUUCAUUUGCAUACUGCCUUCUCUUUUUCGUCCUUUCCAAAAUGAUGUUUUCUUCUGCUGUAAUAAAUUCGCGCCUCAUUUCCUGUAAAAAAAAAAAAA